rfam:Rattus norvegicus chromosome 12, whole genome shotgun sequence.
GGGGAUUUAGCUCAGUGGUAGAGCGUUUGACUAGCAAGCGCAAGGCCCUGGGUUCAGUCCCCAGCUCCG